rnacentral:rRNA from 1 species
CAGCCGCCGCGGUAAUACGAAGGGGGCUAGCGUUGUUCGGAAUUACUGGGCGUAAAGCGCACGUAGGCGGAUAUUUAAGUCAGGGGUGAAAUCCCGCAGCUCAACUGCGGAACUGCCUUUGAUACUGGGUAUCUUGAGUAUGGAAGAGGUUAGUGGGAUUGCGAGUGUAGAGGUGAAAUUCGUAGAUAUUCGCAGGAACACCAGUGGCGAAGGCGGCUAACUGGUCCAUAACUGACGCUGAGGUGCGAAAGCGUGGGGAGCAAACAGGAUUAGAUACCCCCGUAGUCCCUGUCUCUUAUAC